ACCCCGGUAGCCUAGUUGUAGUUGGUCAGGGCGUCGGCAGUACUGAUGCCUAAGGUUGCAGGUUCAAAUCCUGCCUGCGGUG